GACGAACGCUGGCGGCGUGCUUAACACAUGCAAGUCGAACGGAAAGGCCCUGCUUUUGUGGGGUGCUCGAGUGGCGAACGGGUGAGUAACACGUGAGUAACCUGCCCUUGACUUUGGGAUAACUUCAGGAAACUGGGGCUAAUACCGGAUAGGAGCUCCUGCUGCAUGGUGGGGGUUGGAAAGUUUCGGCGGUUGGGGAUGGACUCGCGGCUUAUCAGCUUGUUGGUGGGGUAGUGGCUUACCAAGGCUUUGACGGGUAGCCGGCCUGAGAGGGUGACCGGCCAAAUUGGGACUGAGAAACGGCCCAGACUCCUACGGGAGGGAGCAGGGGGGAAUAUUGCACAAUGGGAGGAAGCCUGAUGCAGCAACGCCGCGUGCGGGAUGACGGCCUUCGGGUUGUAAACCGCUUUCGCCUGUGACGAAGCGUGAGUGACGGUAAUGGGUAAAGAAGCACCGGCUAACUACGUG
rnacentral:rRNA from 1 species